rnacentral:lncRNA from 1 species
CAAUCGCAUCUUCAACUUAUCCGCGACCCAAGCAUACCGUCGGACCAUUCAUCCAAUUGGUACAACUCUUGCUUAUAACUAUUUUCUUUUCUUUUAUACAAAAUUAAUUUUCUGCUCACUUAUCUCCCAAAUACAGCGGCACCCUUUCCAGUUGAUCCCGCUGCUCCAUUUAUACCAAAAGAAGAACUAGAAGAGAUUUCUGAUAUCCGCUUCCUUCUUCUGUAAUACACUCUGCUUUUCUUUUGACUUUUCUUUUCUUAGUAUACUCAACGCUUACUUUUUCUUUAUUCACUCUUAUCUGCAGUCAAAUCCAUUUCCUCCAUCGAUCCCAGCUUCAGAAAAAAGACCAAUUGAACCUGAAUAAACUAUUCCUCCACCACCUCCAAAGCGACGUAAAUCCGU